AGAUUAAACUGAAGAGUUUGAUCAUGGCUCAGAUUGAACGCUGGCGGCAGGCUUAACACAUGCAAGUCGAGCGGAAACGAUGGGAGCUUGCUCCCAGGCGUCGAGCGGCGGACGGGUGAGUAACGCGUAGGAAUCUACCCAGUAGAGGGGGAUAGCCCGAGGAAACUCGGAUUAAUACCGCAUACGCCCUAAGGGGGAAAGGCCGGGAUCUUCGGACCGGUCACUAUUGGAUGAGCCUGCGUUGGAUUAGCUUGUUGGUGGGGUAAAGGCCUACCAAGGCGACGAUCCAUAGCUGGUCUGAGAGGAUGAUCAGCCACACUGGGACUGAGACACGGCCCAGACUCCUACGGGAGGCAGCAGUGGGGAAUAUUG
rnacentral:rRNA from 1 species